rnacentral:lncRNA from 1 species
AUGGGCGCCCGGCCGCGGCUGAGGUCAGUUCCGCUGCCUGGCGCUGCGCUCCGCCGAGGCUGCGGCGGCGACGGGGGGCGCGGGUGCGCCCUCGCUGGGGACAGUCUCGCAAAAACAAUAGAAGGUGCUGUUUGUGGACUGAAAGUGUUUUCUACUAACCAAGAUAAAAAGAAUCAUGUACCUGCCAGGCUUUCUGAGUUGGUGACAGACAGCACAUGUUUGAAAGAGGUAAUGUGUCUACUUCAUCUGCUACCUUUUAUUUCUCUUCUCCUCCAACAGUACAGGUGCAAACCUUCUAUGUAUGUCACUCUGAAUGUAAUGUCUCCUAUUUAUU